rnacentral:rRNA from 1 species
CACUCCUACGGGAGGCAGCAGUGGGGAAUUUUGGACAAUGGGCGAAAGCCUGAUCCAGCAAUGCCGCGUGAGUGAAGAAGGCCUUCGGGUUGUAAAGCUCUUUUGUCAGGGAAGAAACGGUGAAAGCUAAUAUCUUUUGCUAAUGACGGUACCUGAAGAAUAAGCACCGGCUAACUACGUGCCAGCAGCCGCGGUAAUACGUAGGGUGCAAGCGUUAAUCGGAAUUACUGGGCGUAAAGCGUGCGCAGGCGGUUUUGUAAGUCUGAUGUGAAAUCCCCGGGCUCAACCUGGGAAUUGCAUUGGCGACUGCAAGGCUAGAAUCUGGCAGAGGGGGGUAGAAUUCCACGUGUAGCAGUGAAAUGCGUAGAUAUGUGGAGGAACACCGAUGGCGAAGGCAGCCCCCUGGGUCAAGAUUGACGCUCAUGCACGAAAGCGUGGGGAGCAAACAGGAUUAGAAACCCCAGUAGUCCCAUGA